rnacentral:rRNA from 1 species
UGAGGAAUAUUGGUCAAUGGGCGGAAGCCUGAACCAGCCAUGCCGCGUGCAGGACGACGGCCCUACGGGUUGUAAACUGCUUUUCCGGGGGAAGAAUAAGGGCGACGUGUCGCCCGAUGCCGGUACCCCGGGAAUAAGGAUCGGCUAACUCCGUGCCAGCAGCCGCGGUAAUACGGAGGAUCCAAGCGUUAUCCGGAUCUACUGGGUUUAAAGGUGCGUAGGCGGGCCCCUCAGUCAGCGGUGAGAGUCUGCGGCUCAACCGUAGGAUUGCCGUUGAUACUGGGGGCCUUGGAUUCGGUCGAGGCGGGCGGAAUGCGUGGUGUAGCGGUGAAAUGCUUAGGUAUCACGCAGAACGCCGAUUGCGAAGGCAGCUCGCCGGGCCGAAAUCGACGCUGAGGCACGAAAGCGUGGGGAUCGAACA